GGCGGCUCGCGCUCGGGCAGGCGGGCUGAGGAGGCUGCCGAGCCCCCGCCGCCGCCGCCGCGGGGGAAGCCUGGGAGCCAGAUCGGCGUCGCCUCGGCCUCCGUAACCCCCGCCUAGCCGGGCCAUGGCGGAACGCGGAGGGGCGGGCGGUGGUCCCGGAGGCGCCGGGGGCGGCAGCGGCCAGCGGGGAUCCGGGGUCGCCCAGUCCCCUCAGCAGCCACCGCCGCCGCAGCAGCAGCAGCCGCCGCAGCAGCCGACGCCCCCCAAGCUGGCCCAGGCCACCUCGUCGUCCUCGUCCACCUCGGCGGCGGCUGCCUCCUCCUCAUCCUCGUCCACCUCCACCUCCAUGGCCGUGGCGGUGGCCUCGGGCUCCGCGCCUCCCGGCGGCCCGGGGCCAGGCCGCACCCCCGCCCCGGUGCAGAUGAACCUGUACGCCACCUGGGAGGUGGACCGGAGCUCGUCCAGCUGCGUGCCUAGGCUAUUCAGCUUGACCCUGAAGAAACUCGUCAUGCUAAAAGAAAUGGACAAAGAUCUUAACUCAGUGGUCAUCGCUGUGAAGCUGCAGGGUUCAAAAAGAAUUCUUCGCUCCAACGAGAUCGUCCUUCCAGCUAGUGGACUGGUGGAAACAGAGCUCCAAUUAACCUUCUCCCUUCAGUACCCUCAUUUCCUCAAGCGAGAUGCCAACAAGCUGCAGAUCAUGCUGCAAAGGAGAAAACGUUACAAGAAUCGGACCAUCUUAGGCUAUAAGACCUUGGCCGUGGGACUCAUCAACAUGGCAGAGGUGAUGCAGCAUCCUAAUGAAGGCGCACUGGUGCUUGGCCUACACAGCAAUGUGAAGGAUGUCUCUGUGCCUGUGGCAGAAAUAAAGAUCUACUCCCUGUCCAGCCAGCCCAUUGACCAUGAAGGAAUCAAAUCCAAGCUCUCUGAUCGUUCUCCUGAUAUUGACAAUUAUUCUGAGGAAGAGGAAGAGAGUUUCUCAUCAGAACAGGAAGGCAGCGAUGAUCCAUUGCAUGGGCAGGACUUGUUCUACGAAGACGAAGAUCUCCGGAAAGUGAAGAAGACCCGGAGGAAACUAACCUCAACCUCUGCCAUCACAAGGGUGAGCCUCAAAGGUCUGGGGAGUGGUUGGCUAAGAUUUUCAGUCUGGGGGUAGGUUGGCAGCAGCAUAUUCAGGCCUAGUGGAGGCUUCUUAAAAUCAACACAGGGUCAUCCCUUCAACGAUUCCGAUGCAUGCUCUAUAUCCUCACUACCGCCCAAUUAGACUCACUGUUGUUGGGAACCACAAUUACUGAUAAGAGUGUUAUAUCCUUCAGGUUAUCGUCAGAUAGAAAAAAGGAGGAGAACCCUUCUUGUAGAAUUCAGAACAGAUAGUAGUCCAUCAGGGAACAGACCGCCUCCCACCCACUCCAGUGGCUGCUUCAUGUCACAUGCUGUCCUCUGCAGGGAGAAAGCCAGCUCCCUCUAGGAGUAGCACUAGUUUUAAUCAUGUGCUGAACUUAGGCAGAGAUAAUAGGCUAGUCGUGGGGUGCUCCUGUGACCCUGGGCUUGCUAAGCUUUAAUUACAUCAGAUAUCAUUCCUGCCUUAAUGGAUCCAUAACCUUGGAGACCAGGUGCCUUUUGAUACUUUUCCUCCAUAAGACUUCCUCAAGAGUCACUGUUUUGAUGACAUUUGAGUCCUGAACUGAGAAGCUAAAAACCUGAAUUUCUAGGUGGUCUUUGACAGAUUCUGGAGUGCCUGCAUGAAGUGUGGGAGGGCCAGAAGUGCUGGGAGCAUUUCCGAAGGGGAAUUCACAGCUCCAUUUCCCCAGAGGCAUCCUGAUUCUCCCCAGUGCAGAGCUAGCCUAGGGACCAACCCCCUGAGAGCCGAGAUGCCCACCCCUUCAGGGGUGAGACGGAGGCCAGAUGCUGUCACCUCUCCCAUCACACCGAGGUGUCACUGGACUUACAGGUAAAUCCGUGAGACUGUGACCUGGAUUUCCCAUCCAGUCAGCAACUAGGGAGUGGGAAGACUGUUUCCUUGUCCUCAGGUAUCCACCUCUUGAUUGGUGCUCCAAAUGGUCCCCAUGAGGUGUGUCACCAGUGCCCCAAAUGCUUGACCUCCAUUGCACUCUGGAAAUAGGGAGUAGCUGUAGGAUCUCUCUCUAGUCAGCCCCUACUGCUGAGUCUUUCUUUUUCCUGCUCUGUAACCAGAAAGCGGCCCUAUUUUCUUCCCAGCGGGUGCCCCCAGAGCUUCAUAAGUCACCUCUUCCUACGUGGGGUCUCCUCCUUGUCAUGACCAUGGCACACGACCGGAGUUCAGUGCUCCUGCUAAUAAUGUUCACUCCCUCCGAGAUGUUUUUUUUUAAGCUGCAGGCACUUUCCAGUUCUAUCCCAGAGACUUAGUGACCUCCCUUAGUGCCUGUCUCCUCUGUGCAUGCGCAUUCUUCUCUCCCACCAAGAACACAGAUGUACUUGACCUUCUCUGAACAUGUCUCAUGCUGCUCUGUCACUGGGAGCUUGACUUUUUUUCUCUGCUGUGAAUGCCCUUUCUGCCCUUUCUUUGAAGACCUAUCAGCCUCGCGAGUUCAUUGUUUUCAUCCCCAGAUGGCGAGUCUGUCAUUCAGGCAGGAAGUACAUAUAAACACAAGCUAAGCAUCAUGCCCAGAGACAGAGAGAUAAGGCCUAGUCCAUGCCAUCGAGCGCACAGCGUCUAGUGACACCACAGAUUUCAACAAAUAAUUGUAGCCUAGUAGGACAGGUGCCAUAAGACAGAGCUUUGCAAUGACACCAGGGGACUGUGGCCACCUGUCCCAGGAGUGCCAGGACAGCUUCCCAGAUGAUAUGCUGAGAGAUGGGUUUUUUAAAAUAAAACUUCACCAAGUGGAUUUGGGGAAAAUUUUUAUUCAAGGCAGAAGAUACCCUAUAUAAAGGCCCAGUACAGUGCUGUGGCUUAUGCCUAUAAUCCCAGCACUUUGGGAAGCCGAGGCAGGUGCAUCAUGAGGUCAGGAGAUUGACACCAUCCUGGCCAACAUGGUGAAACCCCGUCUCUACU
rnacentral:sRNA from 1 species